rfam:Schistosoma haematobium scaffold2143_4, whole genome shotgun sequence.
GCACUGUCGAGGAGUCCAACAAUAGGACGAAACGGCCGUCCAGUGC